UACGGAGGGUGCAAACGUUAUCCGGAAUCACUGGGCGUAAAGCGCGUGUAGGUGGUUUUGUAAGUGGACGAUUAAAUACCGAUGCUUAACAUCGGGGCUGUUGUCUAUACUGCAAGACUUGAGAAUGGUAGGGGCAGGCGGAACUUUGGGUGUAGGGGUGAAAUCCGUAGAUAUCCAAAGGAACACCAAUGGCGAAGGCAGCUUGCUGGACCAUUUCUGACACUGAGACGCGAAAGCGUGGGGAGCAAACGGG
rnacentral:rRNA from 1 species